GAUGAAGAACGUAGCGAAAUGCGAUACGUAAUGUGAAUUGCAGAAUUCAGUGAAUCAUCGAAUCUUUGAACGCAUAUUGCGCUCUCUGGUAUUCCGGAGAGCAUGCUUGUUUGAGUAUCAGUAAACACCUCAACUUCCAUAUCUUUUUUGAAAUGGGAGUUGGACUUGAGUGAUCCCAACGCUUUUCCUCACCGAAAAGUGGCGGGUUACUUGAAAUGCAGGUGCAGCUGGACUUUUCUCUGAGCUAUAAGCAUAUCUAUUUAGUCUGCCUAAAAAACAGAUUAUUACCUUUGCUGCAGCUAACAUAAAGGAGAUUAGUUCUUGUGCUGACAGAUGCAGGAUUCACAAAGACAGGCUUCGGCCGACUUUGUAAACUCGAUCUCAAAUCAAGUAAGACUACCCGCUGAACUUAAGCAUAUCAAUAAGCGGAGGA
rnacentral:misc_RNA from 1 species